rnacentral:rRNA from 2 species
GGGUUGUGAGGUUAAGCGACUAAGCGUACACGGUGGAUGCCCUGGCAGUCAGAGGCGAUGAAGGACGUGCUAAUCUGCGAUAAGCGCCGGUAAGGUGAUAUGAACCGUUAUAACCGGCGAUUUCCGAAUGGGGAAACCCAGUGUGACUCGUCACACUAUCAUUAACUGAAUCCAUAGGUUAAUGAGGCGAACCGGGGGAACUGAAACAUCUAAGUACCCCGAGGAAAAGAAAUCAACCGAGAUUCCCCCAGUAGCGGCGAGCGAACGGGGAGGAGCCCAGAGCCUGAAUCAGCAUGUGUGUUAGUGGAAGCGUCUGGAAAGGCGCGCGAUACAGGGUGACAGCCCCGUACACAAAAGCGCAUGUGCUGUGAGCUCGAUGAGUAGGGCGGGACACGUGGUAUCCUGUCUGAAUAUGGGGGGACCAUCCUCCAAGGCUAAAUACUCCUGACUGACCGAUAGUGAACCAGUACCGUGAGGGAAAGGCGAAAAGAACCCCGGCGAGGGGAGUGAAAAAGAACCUGAAACCGUGUACGUACAAGCAGUGGGAGCACCCUUUGGGGUGUGACUGCGUACCUUUUGUAUAAUGGGUCAGCGACUUAUAUUCUGUAGCAAGGUUAACCGAAUAGGGGAGCCGGAGGGAAACCGAGUCUUAAUUGGGCGUUAAGUUGCAGGGUAUAGACCCGAAACCCGGUGAUCUAGCCAUGGGCAGGUUGAAGGUUGGGUAACACUAACUGGAGGACCGAACCGACUAAUGUUGAAAAAUUAGCGGAUGACCUGUGGCUGGGGGUGAAAGGCCAAUCAAACCGGGAGAUAGCUGGUUCUCCCCGAAAGCUAUUUAGGUAGCGCCUCGUGAAUUCAUCUCCGGGGGUAGAGCACUGUUUCGGCUAGGGGGCCAUCCCGGCUUACCAACCCGAUGCAAACUGCGAAUACCGGAGAAUGUUAUCACGGGAGACACACGGCGGGUGCUAACGUCCGUCGUGAAGAGGGAAACAACCCAGACCGCCAGCUAAGGUCCCAAAGUCAUGGUUAAGUGGGAAACGAUGUGGGAAGGCCCAGACAGCCAGGAUGUUGGCUUAGAAGCAGCCAUCAUUUAAAGAAAGCGUAAUAGCUCACUGGUCGAGUCGGCCUGCGCGGAAGAUGUAACGGGGCUAAACCAUGCACCGAAGCUGCGGCAGCGACGCUGAUGCGUUGUUGGGUAGGGGAGCGUUCUGUAAGCCUGUGAAGGUGGCCUGUGAGGGUUGCUGGAGGUAUCAGAAGUGCGAAUGCUGACAUAAGUAACGAUAAAGCGGGUGAAAAGCCCGCUCGCCGGAAGACCAAGGGUUCCUGUCCAACGUUAAUCGGGGCAGGGUGAGUCGACCCCUAAGGCGAGGCCGAAAGGCGUAGUCGAUGGGAAACGGGUUAAUAUUCCCGUACUUGGUGUUACUGCGAAGGGGGGACGGAGAAGGCUAUGUUGGCCGGGCGACGGUUGUCCCGGUUUAAGCGUGUAGGUGUGUGUUCCAGGUAAAUCCGGUUCACUUUAACACUGAGGCGUGAUGACGAGGCACUACGGUGCUGAAGCAACAAAUGCCCUGCUUCCAGGAAAAGCCUCUAAGCAUCAGGUAACAUCAAAUCGUACCCCAAACCGACACAGGUGGUCAGGUAGAGAAUACCAAGGCGCUUGAGAGAACUCGGGUGAAGGAACUAGGCAAAAUGGUGCCGUAACUUCGGGAGAAGGCACGCUGACACGUAGGUGAAGUGAUUUACUCAUGGAGCUGAAGUCAGUCGAAGAUACCAGCUGGCUGCAACUGUUUAUUAAAAACACAGCACUGUGCAAACACGAAAGUGGACGUAUACGGUGUGACGCCUGCCCGGUGCCGGAAGGUUAAUUGAUGGGGUCAGCGCAAGCGAAGCUCCUGAUCGAAGCCCCGGUAAACGGCGGCCGUAACUAUAACGGUCCUAAGGUAGCGAAAUUCCUUGUCGGGUAAGUUCCGACCUGCACGAAUGGCGUAAUGAUGGCCAGGCUGUCUCCACCCGAGACUCAGUGAAAUUGAACUCGCUGUGAAGAUGCAGUGUACCCGCGGCAAGACGGAAAGACCCCGUGAACCUUUACUAUAGCUUGACACUGAACAUUGAGCCUUGAUGUGUAGGAUAGGUGGGAGGCUUUGAAGUGUGGACGCCAGUCUGCAUGGAGCCGGCCUUGAAAUACCACCCUUUAAUGUUUGAUGUUCUAACGUGGACCCGUGAUCCGGGUUGCGGACAGUGUCUGGUGGGUAGUUUGACUGGGGCGGUCUCCUCCUAAAGAGUAACGGAGGAGCACGAAGGUUGGCUAAUCCUGGUCGGACAUCAGGAGGUUAGUGCAAUGGCAUAAGCCAGCUUGACUGCGAGCGUGACGGCGCGAGCAGGUGCGAAAGCAGGUCAUAGUGAUCCGGUGGUUCUGAAUGGAAGGGCCAUCGCUCAACGGAUAAAAGGUACUCCGGGGAUAACAGGCUGAUACCGCCCAAGAGUUCAUAUCGACGGCGGUGUUUGGCACCUCGAUGUCGGCUCAUCACAUCCUGGGGCUGAAGUAGGUCCCAAGGGUAUGGCUGUUCGCCAUUUAAAGUGGUACGCGAGCUGGGUUUAGAACGUCGUGAGACAGUUCGGUCCCUAUCUGCCGUGGGCGCUGGAGAACUGAGGGGGGCUGCUCCUAGUACGAGAGGACCGGAGUGGACGCAUCACUGGUGUUCGGGUUGUCAUGCCAAUGGCACUGCCCGGUAGCUAAAUGCGGAAGAGAUAAGUGCUGAAAGCAUCUAAGCACGAAACUUGCCCCGAGAUGAGUUCUCCCUGAGACUUAGAGUCUCCUGAAGGAACGUUGAAGACGACGACGUUGAUAGGCCGGGUGUGUAAGCGCAGCGAUGCGUUGAGCUAACCGGUACUAAUGAACCGUGAGGCUUAACCUUACAACGCCGAAG